UGAUCCAAGUUCAUACUAUUAUUUUUUUACUAUAAAACUUUGAACAAACAGGUUACAGGUAUGUAAUCCUUUUAUGUUGUCAACAAUAAUAUUACGCACACGUAUUAGAUAAUAUAUUAUAAUACAGGAUCAUAAAACAAUAUAUUAUUUUAAAAUGUACGAUUUAAUUGUUUCAGUAAUACUGUACUAUUCAUUAUAUAAUUGUUGUAUAUCAUGUUGAAUCGAUAUUCUCAGUCAAAUAGAUGCAAAUUAUUAUUGGAUUUGGCAAAUCCUAAGAAUUUUUAAAAAUAGAUUUUUGAUAACGAAAUGAAGAAUUCAAUAGCACAAAUAAGAGUAAUGAAGCUAUCAUUAUGAUUACUUAGAUAUUAUUUUAACUAAAACUAUAUUAUUUUUAGUAUUAUUAUAUUUAUUUAAAAAUUAUUUUUUAGAUCCUCAUGAUGGCUAUAAUGAUUUUAAUAAAGAAUUAUCUAAUAUAAAUAAUUCUAAUGAAAUUAUUGCGGAUAAUGAUGUGAUUACCUCAGAUACCAAUUGUGUUAGUAAUGGAAAAAAAAAAGAAGAUUGUUUGCAGAUAAAUUGCAAUGGACUAGAAAGCGAGCUAUAACAAAAAUAAUGCAUGAACAAGAUUACAUAAGAUAUCACAGGAAAGGAAAAUCAAUAUUCCAUGACACUAUUCGUGAAAAAAAAACGUUAAAACUUGCUUGUACUUCAUUAAACUGCAUUAAGUCAAAUAUCAAACACUGCAAAUUCCUAUAAAAUGAAAGACAAUAAAUUUUUGAUGACUUUUGGAAAUUUAUUGAAAAGAAAAAUAUUUGGUAUAAAAUGGUAUUAAAACAGUUAAAAUAACAAGAAACAGUAGCUACUGGAGAAAGUAGUAGAAGCAACUUCUCUUACACAUAUUUUUUAAAAUCCUGAGACGCUAACUUUGUUGUGAGCAAGAAAAUAUUUAAAAACACAUUAGAACCAAAUGAGUGGAUGAUAAAAAAUUUGCUAGAUUCUUUUAAUGGUAAACGGUCACUUUGUACUGUCCAUUGUUUAAAAUGCAGAACGCGGACACU